CCAAACACACCAGAUCGGUUACUUACUGCUAAGAUUACUUAAAAGAAGUUUGUGUGUGUGUUUGUGUGCGUGUGUGUGUGUGUGUGUGGGUGUGUGCACUCACCCAUUCCUCCUGUGAGCGCGGGUGUGGCGUCGGAUCAGGGGCGGUUCCAGGCACUUACACUCUGUGUGAUUGGCGACCUUUAUCAACACUGGCUCGGGUCCAAACUUAAAUGGCACGACACUCAGCAACUGUCAGAACCAAAGUAGUACUUGUGUUUCGGCAUGAGACACCCUCAUUACCGCAGCACCCGUUACACCUGAACACGGACACGCAGGGCGGUUUGAAGAACAUGGAGGUGAUGGUGCCCAGUUCCUUGGCCACGUCUACACACGUCUCCCUGGGCAUGCACUGGGUCUUCUGCCACUCCUCUUCUAUGGCUGACAAACAUACAACCCAAGAACAGGGAGUGAAACAAAAAUGCUGAAGGAUUCUCCAGCAUAUCGCGUGGAGCGAUGGGAUCCAGACCCAGCAGAGGAGGAGGUUGAUCGGUAGUCGGGCUGCUGAGAGGACGAGGGCACCGACGGCGACGUCUCCAGGUGUUGGAGUUUCAGGCGACAUUUCCAAAGCUUCCAGUCAGGGAAGUCUGUCAACUUGAGGAGUUCAUCCAGGCUGGCGGCCGAACGCAUGUCCCUCACCCACUUCUCCUGGUUGAUCCGCUGAACAGGGGAAAUCGGAAGCAGAGUAGAAUAUAGAACAGCAGAGCAAUAACGCACAGCCAAAGAGACGUCCCUCUGCAGCUAGACUUGGGUCAUCAGCUGCAUCACAAUGUCAUGAAUAAAUCAAAUAAAAUUCCUGAAAAUUAUCUCGAAUGCCUCAGUCCAUCCAAAGUUCCAACUUUCCCAAUUCUGUCACAUGUCAACCAGCUCUUCGGCACACAUGAACCUAUAGAGAAGCAGGGGAAGUUACCUUCAAGCUUUAUGUUACAACAGACUUGGAAAGAGCUACCUCAGUGAGGAAAACGUACUAUGACAGAGUUAUUCUUCCCACAGAUGGUCCCAACUACCUCCCUGUCAUCCACCAUGAGAAUUCCCACAGUUGCCAAUAAUUUUGAAUAUAUGUUUUUAGUGAAACACUUUAAUAUACGUAUUUCGAACUCUUUCAUAUGUUUAAGAUCAUGCUUAUAAACAGCAGUUUGUUUACUGAGCCUUUUUUUGGUCAUCAUUACCAAGGAGUCCAUAACUUCUAGAGGGCACUAAAUGUUGUUCCUAGACAGAAUUAAUUAG